UAUUAUUCAAAUUAAGGUCAAAUGGGCUCAUAAUUCUUUUUCUAAACAAAUAAGUUGGAGGUGUUAUAGUGGGCUUUGGGGCUUUGGUCUGCUACACAUAUAUAUGGGUGCUCCGAAACCCUAACAUCUUUUUCUACAAACCUCAUUCCAAAUUUUGCCCUAGUUCAAGAUGCGCACACCUCCAACAAAACCUCACAAGCCUCCGCCUAAUCAGAACUCCAAAAUCUCGCCGGAAAUCAAAUCUUCAUCAUCUCGGUCGUUUUCAGUCAUUCAGAUCUAGGAUUUACGGAGAUGCCGCAAGGGAAAUGGUUGUGGUGUGGUUAAACCUUCAAGGCGAAGAUACCACAGCUCCAGAUUCUUAAAGUUUGCAAGAAGAUGAUACUUACAAGAGCUUUUAAACUUAAAUAGAUGUCCAACAUAUUGGGAAGAAAGACUUCAGAAUGAAAGAGUGAAAGAAUUCGACAGGCAAAAGAACACGGGGAAUCCUAGUCCCGGGCAUUUCUAGGGGCAGUGAUUGGAAAUCCGGUGGUAGCCGCCAGCUCGAGACACUACCAGACUUAAGUUCAAGGCUGAAGACCGUCUCUUGAUUCAAUCUUUUUACAGCAAUAACAGUUCCUGUGCCGGGUUUGGCUGCGUGACACAAGAACAAAGAGACAAUGCUUUCCUUGAAGCUCUUAGACACAACUAUGGGAAGUCUCCUAAUGAGAGGGCGGUGAUUGGAAAUCCGGUGGUAGCCGCCAGCUCGAGACACUACCAGACUUAAGUUCAAGGCUGAGUUGCCCGUAAAUUCAAAACUACAUAUCCUAGAGGGGCGGUGAUUGGAAAUCCGGUGGUAGCCGCCAGCUCGAGACACUACCAGACUUAAGUUCAAGGCUGAGUUGCCCGUAAAUUCAAGGCUACAUAUCCUAGAG